rnacentral:rRNA from 1 species
UACGGGGGGGAGCAAGCGUUUGUUCGGAUUUACUGGGCGUAAAGGGCGCGUAGGCGGUCAGCACAAGUCAGUUGUGAAAUCUCCGAGCUUAACUCGGAAAGGUCAACUGAUACUGUGCGACUAGAGUGCGGAAGGGGCAACUGGAAUUCUUGGUGUAGCGGUGAAAUGCGUAGAUAUCAAGAGGAACACCUGCGGCGAAGGCGGGUUGCUGGGCCGACACUGACGCUGAGGCGCGAAAGCUAGGGGAGCGAACGGG